UACGUAGGCGGAUUGGCAAGUUGGAUGUGAAAUCUUUGAGCUCAACUCAAAAACUGCGUCCAAAACUGCCGAUCUAGAGUCUAGGAUAGGAAAGCGGAAUUCCUAGUGUAGGAGUGAAAUCUAUAGAUAUUAGGAAGAACACCGAUGGCGUAGGCAGCUUUCUGGCCUAAGACUGACGCUAAUGUACGAAAGCUAGGGGAGCGAGCG
rnacentral:rRNA from 1 species